rnacentral:rRNA from 1 species
UGGGGAAUAUUGGACAAUGGGCGAAAGCCUGAUCCAGCCAUGCCGCGUGUGUGAAGAAGGUCUUCGGAUUGUAAAGCACUUUAAGUUGGGAGGAAGGGCAGUAAGUUAAUACCUUGCUGUUUUGACGUUACCGACAGAAUAAGCACCGGCUAACUCUGUGCCAGCAGCCGCGGUAAUACAGAGGGUGCAAGCGUUAAUCGGAAUUACUGGGCGUAAAGCGCGCGUAGGUGGUUUGUUAAGUUGGAUGUGAAAGCCCCGGGCUCAACCUGGGAACUGCAUCCAAAACUGGCAGGCUAGAGUACGGUAGAGGGUGGUGGAAUUUCCUGUGUAGCGGUGAAAUGCGUAGAUAUAGGAAGGAACACCAGUGGCGAAGGCGACCAACUGGACUGAUACUGACACUGAGGUGCGAAAGCGUGGGGAGCAAACA